UUUUAGAAUUUAAUUUAAAGUCUAACCUGCCCACUGAAUAAUUUUAAAUGGCCGCAGUAUUCUAACUGUGCAAAGGUAGCAUAAUCAUUAGUCUUUUAAUUGAAGGCUGGAAUGAAUGGUUGGAUGAAAUAUUAACUGUUUCAUAAAAAUUUAUAAUAGAAAUUUAUUUUUUAGUCAAAAAGCUAAAAUAUAAUUAAAAGACGAGAAGACCCUAUAAAUCUUUAUAUUAAUAUAAUUUUAAUUAUAUAGAUAAAUUAAAUUAUAAUUAUUUUUAAUAUUUUAUUGGGGUGAUAUUAAAAUUUAAUAAACUUUUAAUUUAUAUUUUACAUAAAUUAAUGAAUUAUUGAUCCAUUUAUUAUGAUUAUAAAAUUAAGUUACUUUAGGGAUAACAGCGUAAUUUUUUUAGAGAGUUCAUAUUGAUAAAAA
rnacentral:rRNA from 1 species